ACGAAUGUGGAGCUCGUGUAAGACACCAGACAGCAGAGUGUGAGCACAAUACAGCAGAGAAAAGACACAAAAAGACGUUCAUUUCCAAGUACCAGCACUCCAGCGAUGUAUUUCAGCGUAAAGUGUUGUGAACUGAGCUGUUUCAUGAUGCCAUUGUUCUCGGAUUGCCGGAGGAAAAAAAAAGAAAAAAAAAAGGAAGCAGAAUCUGGAAAAAUUAAUUUAAGAACAGCAGCAGCCCAAAGAAGAGCCAAUCUCUACAUCAGUUUGCAUUUAUUUUAUCCUCGCAGCUCUCAGAGACAAUUAGCUCGAAAAGAGCCUUCAGACGAGCUGAUUUUUGAAGGAAAGUGCUCCACGUACCAGCCUCCAGCAGCCCGUGGAAAAAGAACAACCAAGUUGUGUUUAUUUAGCACCUGGCACAACAAAGCUAUCCCUGGGCACUCGACGCCAACAUGUUCUGAAAUGUCUCCAGUCUCAGCACGCUGCAUCCAACGCAUCACGUAA
rnacentral:lncRNA from 1 species